GGCCUGUUUGAGCAGGCAUUGCAAAUCUUAAAAACAAUAAGAUGAAUAAUCAUCACUGUUUGAUCACUGCCAUUUAUUGAGUACCUUCUCCAUGGCAGAUGCUAAGAUAAGACCUAACAUGCAUCAUCUCUGAUUUUACAAGUCUUCGAGGUUGCAGCCAUGAAAAUGCCCUGGUCAGCCAUGAUUGACCAUGACAGGGGUACUAGUGCAGGCCUGUUCCUGCUGGACAUGGAACCCCUCUAAUGGCUUAAGGACUCCCACUGGCUGGCAGAAACUUUCUUAGAACAACACUGUAGUCUAAGACUCUUCCUACUGAAUUCUCUUUCCUUCUCCCUCUCCUUUCAUGGGGGUCAGGCCUGCACUGCAGUCUGGGGCUUCCUCUGCCUACUUCAGUUCCUUCCUGAACAUUUUACAGGUGUUUCCCCCAAUAAUUCUCUUAUAUGCCUAAUCCCAUCUUGGUGCCUGCAUCUCGAAGGAACUAACACAGUGGACAGGAGUCCCAUUUUGCAGACAGACACUGGAUCAAUGAUGAAGUUACUUGUGUAAGUCCUACAGCCAACAAAUGUUAAGAGCUGGGGUUGUGUGCAGGUAUGUUUGAUUCCACAAGCCAAGUCUUAGAAGCAUACUAGGCUUCCUCUCUAAUGAUCUAUGCAGGCUUAACUGUGAGGACAGGGAGUGAUGACACAUUUCAGUUUGGCCCCUUUGUUUUGUCGAUGAGAAACCUGAGACCAGUGAGGGAAAGGAUUCGCCCAUGGGUGCCAGUGGGAGGGGUGCACCUGGGCUGUGCACAGCCAUUUCCCUCCUUUGGAGGCUGAGGGAGGAGGUCACAGGGAGGCCUCAGGGUAUGGAGGGAGGUCAGGCUGGGGGGCUUAGUGUCUGACCCACCAGCCUGGCAGGCGGGAAUGUGCCUGUAGAAGCCCACGGCCCUCUUGGGGAGAAGCCAUGAAGUGAGGACUGAGUGCUGCCUGGAGGUGCUGGCUGGGAUGCACAGGGAAGAGCUGUCAGGGUAUGGGUCUAACACUGGAACAGCUGGGGGACAUUCCCUGGAUAUCCCUGCAUUGCCUUGAGGCUCUCCCAUCCCUGUUUGAUCCGUAAGCUCCAAGGAGACAUGUUUCCCAGCCAUAAUGCCUUCUGAUCCCAAUCUCUUCUACUCUUUUCAUUGGCAAGAGUCAUUCUCACCCGGGUUUUCUUAUAUAAUAAUUAUAAACUCAUUCAGGGCCUGUGAGUGAAAAGGCACACAUAUACAUUCAGGUCUAAUAUUCACUGAGCAACCAUCAGCACAAUGGUAUGUGACCUCUUUGAAUGCUGCACUAAUGCUCCACUGUCUAGAAGGAGGCCAGACUGCUCUGGGGACCAGGUGCAGAGGGUGCCCUCAAGUGUCUAGUGUCAGAGAGAGAGGGGCUACUCCACUUUGGCCAGGGUGAACUUGAGUUGGUGAUGACAAACAUCUGCAGCUAGUCUAUUUUUCUAAUCUCACCCUCCAAACAGCCCCAUCUUCUUGCAGGGAGGAUGGGUGAAGGCAUUUUCAAAAAUGGACAUCACAUGUGACAAACAGGCAAAGGACCCUGACAGAGCCACAAAACUGACACGCUCAUGAAAACUCAGACCGCUGACAAUGGUGAGCGCCGACCAAUUCAGCGCCAGGCGUGGAGGCUUCUGGCAAGAGUGGUGGGCUCUGUGCGUCCUGAUGGUGGCAGCAGAGACCAGCUUGGGAGCCACCUGGCUCCUCUGCCCUAGCCCAUUAUGGCCUGAAUCCAAUCAAUUUCAGUUCUCAGCACUUCUGAAAACGUGCGUGGCUUAGAGUGUCUGGCAGGGCUCAGGAGAGAAAAGCAUUUCUCAGCCCCGGGACACAUAUAUGCCUCCAGGCACUGGUUGUGGCUUGCAAUCUGGGAGGGCAGGUGAACGGACACCCUCCCUCCUUGCACAGGCCUGGGAUCUGCCUUACUCAACUCCCACUUCUACCAGGAGCAGAGGAUCACCGCUGCCCAGCACCCCGCCCAUCUGAAUUCUGACUCUGGUGGCUUCAGAGAAGCAAGGUAGGGGCCAGUGCUGGUAUGAAAUGCCAGAUGAGAGGAAACUGAUGCAUGCACUUUACUCCUGACUCAGAGUGCCUGAAAUAUCUGGCAAACUGGCAAAGGAUGAAACCCUUCUUUGAGGUCUGUAGAGUAGCUUUAAGAUAAAUGAAGCCACUGAGAAGGUCCAAAACAAGGGGCCCUUAGACGUGGAAGAGGUCUGCUUUCCUGAUAACUAGAGUGGUGCUGGGCUAUGAAAACAGUCCAAAUAGAUGAGGAUAGUUCCUGAGAGCACAGGGUUCUGAAGCUGGACAAAUAUUCUUCCACCUUAAUGGCCCUCUCACUGGAGCCUUCACAGGGUUAACGAUGGUCCCGCAGGAGUUGGGGCCAUGACUGAGGACAUGGAGCUGAUGUGGAGGCAGUCAGGGCCAAGGCAAGAGCCUCCUUGUGUAUAGUGGAAACGCAAGACAGACAUCAAAGGGAGUGGGGUGUGCGGUUCCCAAGGGGCUACCAGAGUCCACUUUUAUUAAAAGUUUGUGUCUUUCUUUAGAAAGUAAUAUGUUCCAUCUCCAGCACCUGAAGGCUCCUUUCAGGGUGCCAGAAGAAUCCUCAAGGGACAGUCCCAGGCUGUGUCCUUCCUCCUGUCUUGGCUGACAUUUUUAUGCAUGGUUUAGGCAGCCCAUGGGCUUUCCAGCUUUGCAAUAAGAUCUGAUCUAAUUUCAAGCUUAUACAUAACAGAAGGGCUGGGGGAGAAGUAGGAGUUCUUUUAGAAUUGCAAAAUCCAGGUGGGUGUAGCCUGUGGGGUGCAGGCUAUCCAGCUCAAAGAGGGAGGCCCAUAUCUCAGAUUCCCUAAUGCUCGGCACAGUGUCUGGCACACAAUGGGCACACAGGAAAUCCUGCACUGAAUCAAACAGAUUUUGUAUUACCAGAUCUAGGCUGACUCACUGUGUGGUCAGGACCUUGGGUCAAUCACUUCACCUGGUGACUCACUCCCUACCUGUAAGGUGUGGAGGACAGCUGGAGUCACUGUGGCACCUGUGUGUUUAGCAGUGUGUUUGCUUGUUCCUGCUUUUAUGUCUCUGGCUGGUCUAAGAUGGAAUGAUAAAAAAAUAACGGAAUGCACUUUGUAAACGAGAGCAUCCUAGACACAUGUAAAGAUUGGAAAAUUAGAAAGCUGUCUCUACUGUAGUUACUUCUCAGAUAUGACCAACCAUUAUUAAGAAUUCAUUGGCUAAUAGGGCUACAUUUUCUCAUGAUCAUUCUUCUGUUUUAGAAGUGGGCAACUGCAGUUUUAAGAAUAAAUGUGUAAAUGUGUGUUUUCAUGAGAGACAAUAAAGCUGUUUUCAUUAAGAAUGAAAUAUGCAACUUGCAAACACUUUUACUUUUCUUGAAUUGGGUCCUUCAGCAGAAGCAGUUUGCCCAGCCCUGACAUGGAAAGUUUACUUUGCUCAUCAACCUGAAGGAGACCGAAAGCUAUGAGAGGCGGCUCCUGAAAAGAAUCUAGACUCCGGAUAUAAAAAGAUCUUGCAACACAAGGCCAAGUGGAAAUCAUGGUUCGCAUUAAAGGCAUAAACCUCCUGCACUAACAACCCAGAGCAGGAGGAAAAGCUGGGAGACCUGGCUCAGCAGCCUUCCCUGAGGGAAGCCUUCGGGGCUUUGUUCCUCUUGAGAUCAGGGCAAGCCUAUGUAUGACCUGAAGCCAAUACAACCAGCAGAGCUGAUGCCAGUGCUGGCUGCCUGAGUGCUACUAAAGAAAGAGUCCACCAUCGGCUCCCUCUUCCGUAGCCAGACACAGGUGGAAUGCUGUGCUUCCUUUUGGGAGACAAAGCAGAAGCUACCCCAGAGGGGGCAGAUGGGAGACAGGCCCAGGCAAUGCAGCCCUACAAAGAAGACUUGAAGGGCCGGGGCUGAGCAGCUUGGAUGAAGAGAAGGCUGCCUUUCAGAGCUGUUUCAAAUGUUUCAGACGUUGCUAGACAAACUAGAGUUGUAUGGCUUCAGAUGGCACAGCUUAGGGCCAUAGAGUGGGAAUCACAAGAAGGCAAACUUUAGGCCCCCAGGAGAGCUGGACAACAACCUGGAGGGUCAGAGGAGAAUGGGCUGUCCAAGGAGCGGGGAUAUGAGGGUGGGGCAGUGUGGCCAUCCCUGGAAGGGGUAAGGGAGUGGCAGAUGGUAACCAUUUGGGGUGGGGUGUGGCUGAGGAUUCCUGCAAGGCUAUCAGAGAAACUCUAAGAAUCAUAAGAAUCAAAGCUCAAGUACAUGAGGGAAGACAUAAUGAAAUCCCUAAAGUUCUGAGAGGUUGUACCAGAUUCUUUAUGGAGAAUACAGAGAGAAUGCCUCCUGACUCCUCAUUCACAGAGUGCCAGGCAGCAGCAAGGAGAAGCUGGUGGCCUUGGGAGGGCAAAAACUAAGGACAAGGUCCACAAUGCAAUCAGCUCACAUCACCUACGAACAAAUAAAGUGGGGUGGGGGUGGAGAGUUGCUAGAGUUUACGUAACUCUCAAGCCUUAAUUUAGCUGCAAGAACUAGGUUUUUGCCAAAGCUAUAGAACUUCCCACCAGAUGAAAGCUUUAUCUCUUUUUCUUUCUUAGGAGAAGAGAGACAGAAGGAGAGAAGAGGGGCAGGAGGAGAGAAAACACAAGAAAGAGGAUGGAAGAUAAAGAGGAAGGCCAGAGUGAGGCAGGAGAAAGCUGAGCUGGAACCUAACUCCUGUUGAUCUGCUGCAGAGACCCUCUCAUUCCACAAUUGCUCCCGCCAUGGUUUUUGAGACUAUGCAGAAGUUAUUCCAUGAGUUCCAAGCCCAGGUCAUGAAAGAUAACUUGUAAUAAAUCUGGCUACCCUGAAGCUGCCAUGCUUGAGAGACCACACGAGAUGGAGAGAGAUGCUUAGGAGUCCCAGCUGUCCAAGCCUCCAGCUAUGUGAAUCUUCCCAGCAGCAACUGCCAGACAUGUGGUACACCCAAAAUGACUUUGGGGCUACACUUGGAAUUGGCAAGGUUCCAGAAAACAGAGGGACUAUCAUCAGAGACAGCGCACAAAAAGUGGGAGAAAGGUCACCAGCCUCACUCAUGUUUAGGGCUAUUAUGAAUAAAGCUGCUAUGAACACUUGUUUACAAGUUCUUUGUGAGGACACAUGUUUUCAUUUAUCUUGGGAAAAUACCUAGAGAUGGAACUCUGGGACACAUGGUAAUAAAGUAUAUUGGCAUAAUGCAAGAGUCAAGAUGCAGAAAAUAACUACUGUGUGAUGUCUCUCUCCCAGCUUUAACCCGCCUGAAGGGCAGCACUGAGUUCAACACACUGUCCCACAAUUGUUGCACUCUCACACUGAAGUGAACAGAUUCUUUCUCCGUGCCGUGCAGCUCCCGGCAGAGGAUGAGGGAAGGGUACCAUCGGUGAUUCAGCACUGUGUUUCCUAUCCUCUUCAAUGACUCUUUCAGCGAUAUGAAGGUAAAACCAGGUACUGUGAGUGCUCAUCUUAUUUUUGGUUCUUUUGAAGGUGUUUUUUGGUGUAGAUAGUUAUUAAAUUUGGUGUUCCCGCAUGGGGGAACAAUUGAUAGAGCCUUCUAUUUGAUCAUUUUGCUCUGCUCAUUCUAUAUACCACAUUUUCUUUAUCAAAUCUUAUUUAAUUUUGAUUCCAUAAUUUACUAAAGACUAAAUGUGAUAUGCUAAGUUUUUCACAACAAUUAUAUUUUAUCCCACUUUUUUGUCUUCAAAUAGCUUUUGCUUUUGUAUUUCUGUGCUAUGUUAUAGUACAUUACACAUUCAUUGUGGAUUGCAACUUUUAUAAAACAAUCCUCUAUCCAAAGCAUUUUCCUCUGGAGUUUUAUUUUAACCAAUAUUAAUAGUGCCACUACUACCUUGUUCUGACUUUUGCUUUUUUUGAUUUAAAAAUAUAUUUGUUUUAUUUUUGUCUGAUUUUUCUCUAUCUUUAUUUGUAAAUCUUUUGUGUCAUUUGAGUUAGGUGAAUGGAGCACAUGGCUAUGCUUUGUUUUAAAUGAAAGUCUUUGUCAUCCAGCGGAGGACUUUAAUUCAUUUACAUUUAUUGACAUAAAUGUUGGUAGGUCUUAUUUCUCUCAUCUUGCUUUACAAUUUCUAUUUUACUGCUUGUAUUGCUUUUAUUUUGAUGCUUCCUUAUUUCUUCAUCUUUAAAGUAUAUGUACUGCUAUUUUCCUACCAUAAUUACAUUUCUCUAAUUACAAAUAUGAAACUCUGAAUCUCUUCCUUACCAAUCCUAUGUAAAAUAAGAAAUUUAUCAAGCUGGUGGGCUUGAUAAAGGGCUUACCCAUUCCUGUUUCUAAACAAACAAUUAUGCUUAUUUAAACAAUCUGUUCCAAACAACUACCAGCAAAAAUGUGAACUGUUCUUCAUUAGUCUACUAAUUGAAUUUUCUAACUAUCCUGAUGCCAGGAACACCAUGUAUCAGUUAUGCCUAAAAUGUCAUUUAAAAAUAAAAUUGCUUGAGGACAAAUCAGAAAUUAGCAUCUUUAACUAUUUAACUAUUUAAUUACUUUAAGGGCUCCUGGUCAUAGUUUCCACAUUCUACUUCCUUCUCUGUUACAGACUUGAAAGCGUGUGUCAGAUCCCUUCACUAUAUCUUCAGACCUGCCCCAAGGAGUGAGGAAGGGCAACACCAAGAACUUCUCUCCAAGGACCAUAACCUGCGAACCCCAUCUCACCUCCUCCUGCCAGAUGGACACAGUCAUUGUCCUCCUGGCUGAUCCCAUGUCCAUGUCUUGCUCUGGCUACUUUCAUACACCCAUAAUGACAUUUUCCAUCUACUCAAUUUUUUAAAAGCUCAGCUCGAACCUCACGGAUUUUCCUGACAAUCUGCUUCUCUCAAUGGCCUUAAUUUAAGUGAGGGUUGUCAGUCUUACUGGGUCUCGUUUUUUGUCUUAAAUAAUAACUAUUUAUGGGUAUCAAGUGUCUCCUCAAUUUGGCUAUGAUCCUUCACGGCAGAAAUACUGUCUUAUCUUGUGAUCAUGGAGUCACAAGAUUUCAUGGCUAGGAAUAUUCGUCAAAUUAAUCCUAGAUUGAGGAUCAGGUAGUAUGUGGUCUGAUUCUAACUCAACAACUUGCAGAAACUCACUUCUUUUUUCUUUUUUUUUCCCCAGGAGGAGCUAUCGUAUUAACUGACGAAACUCACUUCAUUUCUUUGGACCUGCAAAAUGAGGAUGGGCUCUAAACCACCUCUAAAGUUAAUAUUCUAUGAUUCCAUGAUAAGGCUAUUUGUCAUUUAUAAAAAAAGGAACUUCCACAUAGCCCAGAGAAAGGAAAUGACUUUUUCAAGUUUACAGAGUCAAUUAAUGGACGAAAUGUAAUUUGAAAUUCAAUCUCCUGAUCCCCAGUCUAUUGGGAGUUCUUUCAGAAUGUCCCUUGACUGUCCCUCAAAGUGCCAGCAUGUAUGAAACCUUGUUAAGGAUGUAUGCUCAAUGAAAAUACACAAAUUGACUUAACAAGAAACUAAACUCUCCAGAAAGAUGCAGUUGACCCAAAACUCUGAAUAUCUUUUAUGUUUAAAACUUUCUUUUUUGAACAAAAUUGUACAGUUACUUCUCUAUUUCAACUCUUAAGCCUUUUAUGCCACGUCAAAGGUUAGCUCUCUUUUCUCUCUGUUAAUAAAGUCUUAUUCUUGACUUUGGAACUGUAUGCCAA
rnacentral:lncRNA from 1 species